GACGAACACUGGCGGCGUGCUUAACACAUGCAAGUCGAACGAUGAACCCGGAGCUUGCUCCGGCGGAUUAGUGGCGAACGGGUGAGUAACACGUGAGUAACCUGCCCUUGACUCUGGGAUAACUGCGGGAAACUGUAGCUAAUACCGGAUACGACCCUCGGCGGCAUCGCCAGGGGGUGGAAAGAAUUUCGGUCAAGGAUGGACUCGCGGCCUAUCAGCUAGUUGGUGAGGUAAAGGCUCACCAAGGCGACGACGGGUAGCCGGCCUGAGAGGGUGAACGGGCACCAGGGGACUGCGACAGGGCCCAGACUCCUACGGGAGGCAGCAGUGGGGAAUAUGGCACAAUGGGCGCAAGCCUGAUACGGCAACGCCGCGUGAGGGAUGACGUCUUUCGAGUUGUAAACCUCUUUUAGCAGGGAAGAAGCGAAAGUGACGGUACCUGCAGAAAAAGCACCGGCUAACUACGUGCCAGCCGCCGCCGUAA
rnacentral:rRNA from 1 species